rnacentral:rRNA from 1 species
UACAGAGGUCCCAAGCGUUGUUCGGAUUCACUGGGCGUAAAGGGUGCGUAGGUGGUUAGGUAAGUCCGAUGUGAAAUCUCCAGGCUCAACCUGGAAAUGGCAUUGGAUACUAUCUAGCUUGAGGAGUGGAGGGGGGACUGGGAAUUCUCGGUGUAGCAGUGAAAUGCGUAGAUAUCGAGAGGAACACCAGUGGCGAAGGCGAGUCCCUGGACACUUCCUGACACUGAGGCACGAAAGCUAGGGGAGCAAACAGG